rnacentral:rRNA from 3 species
CAAAGACUCUCGGCAACGGAUAUCUCGGCUCUUGCAUCGAUGAAGAACGUAGCGAAAUGCGAUACUUGGUGUGAAUUGCAGAAUCCCGUGAACCAUCGAGUCGUUGAACGCAAGUUGCGCCCGAAGCCAUCAGGCCGAGGGCACGCCUGCCUGGGUGUCGCAC